CCUCGCCCCAAGGCCCCGCCCCCUCGCCGGUGUCCGCGGCCGCAGCCCCGCGCUGUCAGGCAGCCCGCAGUGCCCGCUCCGCCGCUGCCCGGCUCCCGCCGCCGCCAUGUACCUCUGCAGGGCUGCCUCGCAGGCGCUGGCCUGCCGCCUGAGCAGGGCUCCGUCUGCCGCCAGCCGCCUCAAGCAGCGUGCACCUCUUCGCCAGAUGUCAUCUGGGAGUGUUCCUGGCUCUUCUGGAGAGACCAUGAUUUACUAUGUCCUUGCUGGUGUUGCUGCUUUUGGUGGUUUAUUUUAUGCCUACAGAGUAGUCAGUUCAUCUCGCAGCAACUAUAUUGAACAUAUGAAUAUUCUCCAUGAGAGAGCUGAGGGGCGGAAAAAGGGUGAUGAAGAAGAGACGGCUGAAGUCACUGAAACAGAGACAGCCAUGGAAGAGGCUGGUGCAGUAGCUGCUGCUGGACCUGCAGCACAGGAGGAGAGCACUGAGGUAUCCCCAGAAACUGGAGGGGAGAGUGAGUUACCAGCUUCAGACGCAUCCCCUGCUGUGGAAGAAGCACAGCAGGAAGCUGCUGCUAAUCUGGAAGUUGCUGCUAAUUCAGAAGCUGCUGCCCUACAAGAAACUGUGAGUGAAGUCUUGGAUGUUGCAGCUUCUUCUGCCCACGAGGAAAAAUUAGACAGUGUCGAGGAAAGCGUAGCCUCAACAGCUCAAGAGAUUUCUGACACAGCCUCACGGAGCCCGGACGCUGAUGCUGAGGAGUCGGGGCAAACCUCAGAAGAUUCCAUGGAGGAGAAGACACCUGACGAAGUUGCUAAGGAGCCCUAAAGGUACACAGUACAAUUGCAGCACGUGGUUUCCUGCUCUUCACCUUUCUUUUUAACUCACUUAGUGGCAAUUGCAGCAUGUGUAAGCAGUGCUGAAGCCUUUGAAAAGUUUAAUGGAAAUAUUUGUGGCAAUCAACCAGCUGAUUCCUGUGUGAAACCUCAUACUCUUCCUUGGAGACAAGAAAUUGUGCAGUUUGUCAUUCCAUGCACUGCUCAUUAGGACCAGAUUUCGUUGCUGCAACACAGAACCUAAAACAAUUUAAGUGGGUUAGAGAGACGCUUCUGUGAUUAACAUCUCUGCUUUAGGAAGUAGCAUCCAGUAAUAACUGUCAGAGCACCACCCAGCAUGUAAUAAAUACACGUGCUAAGAGAAGCAGUAGACCUAUCUAAAACCAGGUCAGGUGAACUCGUUUUAGGACUUUGUUGUAUCGUUAUGUAGAUUGUUUCCUUACUUUUGGUCCAAACUGUGGUGCAGAAUUAUACCAUUGUAACAUUCCAUGCUAAAAUGUAAGUGAAAGGUUUUAACUAAGUUAAAAUCUUACAAAAAAAAAAUACCUGUUAGUAUUAUUUCUAGAUUGGGUCACGUGGAAAAUAACAACCUUGUUUGCUCCCAGGUUUGGAUUUGCAUUUGUAAGCAUAGGAUAUGUGCCUGUACAGGAUAUAAUUUCCCCUUGCAUAAACAUUUUAGACGCUACCCUUCCUUGCACAAUAACACCCAGGAGUGAACACUUUUAAAGCUCCUCCUUCAAGAACAAAACCUGUUUGCAAAUAGUAACAAUAGGUACUUUAUAGCAUGAAAAUCGAAAUAACACUGGUUGAAGUUAUUGAAUGAGGCAGUGGCUCCUACCUUGGGGGUGCUGGGCCCUGUUCCUUCCGAACCUUAUCCAGGUUGUAGCCUUUCUGUGUUGUUCUGUCUUAGCAGUGACAUGCAGUGGUGGCGUAACAACACAGAGGUCUGAGAGAACACUCUUGUUCAAAUCACCAGCGAUUUAGGCUGUGGUAAAGCAGCUCCUCUCCGAGCACUCACAGAUGGCCUGCAAAAUCCCUGUGGAAGGCGAUGCUGCAGGUAUUCAAAUGGACGAGGAUUCUUAGGGACUAAAAAAGAACAGAACAGCUAAAUAAUCUUGUCAUCUUAGGACCAUCUUACUAAUGAACAAUUCUAGAAUGAAUAAUGGGUUUGUGUGCCUCUCUUCUCGCCCUCUGCCGUGCUCUGUGCAUGAGUGUGUAUCUACUACAGAAUCCUUACCAAGAUCCCCACCAGCCAAAAAGCAUCACAGCCAUCACAGAAAGGCGAUAGUUCUAAACCAGGGCCAAAUUAAGUUGUAUUAUACACAAUUCACAUGGGAAAUGUGAACCCUAAGGUGUAUCUGACUGCUUUCUCUUCAAGCAGAACUUCGGAAGAACGUUGAAAGGGAAAUUACAGCGUUAUGACAUUCCUACCCAUGGCACAAAGCAACACAUGCUCCUUUCCCCCAUCAUAAAGCAAAUUAUGAUAGCAUUCCAACAAAAAUACAGCCUUUGCUUCUGUACCUGCUUGGGAAUAACUGGAAUAACGCAGAGGCAAAAUGAGGCUCUUGAGCUUCAAGAAGCCAUACUACAGCCUUCUGCCUAAAGGAGAAAGCCACUGUGAUUAAAAGCAACUUUUGUGGACAAAGCUACCGGAAUAAAAAGUCUUUACUGAUAUGUUGUUGGAUGAGAAUCUAUCUUUAUUUAUCCAGUCAAUUAAACACCAUACUCUUAACAAUUCUAUUUCCUCAUCUUCACCAAUUACUAGUGAAACAAACUAUUUCUCAUCUCUGCUGCUGGCAGGAGGGUUUCUGAGAUUGUAGGCUUUGCUGAAUCAUACAGUCAUAGAAAAAUUUGGGUUGGAAGGGACCUUAAAGAUCAUCUAGAUCUACCGCCACGGGGCACGUCCUGCUAGAGGAAUGUCCCCUUGUCUCUGGAACUGCUCUGGUACGUGGCAAAAUAUGGGAACAGAUGCCUGAAGAACUUAAGCCCAGCAUGUGGGGUGCUUUCUAAAGCUUUUAAUCUUCCUGGUUUCAAAAAACAGGAGCAUUGCAGGAUCGCUCGUGCAUGUGCUUCACGGCACAGAUCUUUUUUUUUUUUCCCUUUCAAAAUCCCCACUACUCUUGAAAGACAAAGGAGCCAGGAAUAUACUACAAACUCUAGGUGUGAUGACACAUAGCACAGCAUGGUCUGCUUCAGCACUUGCUUGUAUCCUAGAUGAACAACAGAGAUACUUUGCAACUUGCGGAGGGCUGUUCUUCAAAAUAAACAGCCAAUAACUGCAUGCAGAACGUGUUGUUGCUCAAUCAGAAAUUCUCCAUCUUACUGGUUUUGUUGGUCCCUAAGCAUCAUUGAUCACUUUAUCAGUCGUAGAAUCAUAGAAUGGUUUGGGUUGGAAGGGACCUUAAAGAUCACCCAGUUCCACCCCCCCUGCCAUGGGCAGGGAUAUCCCACUGGAUCAGCUGACCAAGGCCCCAUCCAACCUGGCCUUGAACACCUCCAGGGAUGGGGCAGCCACAGCUUUCCUGGGAACCUGUGCCAGUGCCUCAGCACCCUCAUAGUGGAGAAAUUCUUCCUUAUUUCUACUCUAAAUCUGCCCUUCUCCAGUUUACACCCAUUACACCUCGUCUCAUCACUACAAGCCUUUGUAAACAGCCCCUCCCCAGAUUUCCUGUAGCCUCUUCAGGUACUGGAAAGUCGCUAUAAGAUCUCCUCAGAGCCUUCUCUUCUCCAGGCUGAACAAGCCCAACUCUCUCAGCCUGUCCUCGUAUGGGAGGUGCUCCAGCCCUCCGAUCACCUUUGUAGCCCUCGUUUGGACCUGUUCCAACAGCUCCAUAUCCUUCUUAUGUUGAGGAUUCCAGAACUGGACACAAUACUCCAGGUGAGGUCUCACAAGAGAGGAAUAGAGGGGCAAAAUCAUUUCCCUUGACCUGCUGGCCACACUUCUUUUGAUGCAGCCCAGGAUAUCGUUGGCCUUCUGGGCUGCGAGCGCACAUUGCCAGCUCAUGUCGAGCUUCUCAUCAACCAGCACUCCCAAGUCCUUCUCUGCAGGGUGGAGAAAGAGGAAAGGGGAAAAGGCUUGUUCUUGACAGUACCCUUAAAGCUCUGAGUAAAACUUGAGAUUCCCGAAUAUGUCCAAACUGCUCCUCUGCAGUCAACUAGUAUCUGUGAAAUCAGCUGGCAAAGCGUUUCACCUCCUCUAGCACCAGUUCACAUGAAGGAUGACAGCCGGUGGCUGCUGGCAGCAAUUUGCUUAGCUGAAACACUAAAAAAGGUGAUGUCCAUCUGACUGUUUCGGUUUUACUCUUUGCCUGCGUUGAUGUCAAUAUAGAAUUUCUGUUUUAUUCUCAUUUGCUGCUUAAAAACAUGAGACAAUUACCUAAACAGAUCAUUCAAGCUGCAAAUUGGUUCAAAUCUGGCAAGUGCGAGAGUGAAAUACUUUAACCAAGAUUUCUUGUGCCUGUGUGGCAAGCUUUGAUGAUGUAAUAAAAUAAUAUUUUUAGUCUGUUUUUCUGGAAGAAAACCAACCAAACCCAAACCAAGCCAAGAACUGAAGCCAUGCCUUUUUUUUCCCCGUCAAUCUCUCUCCUUUUCACUCCCUCAUAAAUUUUGAACUUCUGUUUCACCAGAGAGGUGGGAAGGACACAGAGCUCCUACCAGCUGAGUGAUGACUGAGAUCAUCAGUAGCUUAUUUUGUUGUGUUUGCCAGCAGAUGAGCAACUGCAGACAGAUGACGUAGCAGAGUGGCACUUUGGUGGUUGUAACUGGCUACGGCAGAUGCUGUUUCCUCUCUGCAGGUGGUUAUGGGAUGAGAGACUGAGCCGGCUGUAGGAGGAGAGCUUAGAGGGCACAGGCUGGAUGGGAUGGGGGGAAGCCUGCCAGAUGGGGAAUGGCUGAGAGAACUGGGUUUGUUCCGUCUUCAGAAAAGAAGGUUUAGGGGACACCUUAUCAACAUGUUCCAGAACUCAAAGGGUGGCUACAAAGAAGAUGGAGACUCUCUUUUUACAAAGAGUCACGUGGAAAAGACAAGGAGUAAUGGUAACAAGUUACUCCUGGGGAGAUUCCAAUUGGACACAAGAGGAAAAUUUUUCAAAGUGCUAAAAUAAUCUUGGAAUAUUCUUCCCAGAGAAGUGAUGGAUUCCCCAACAUUGGACACUUUUAAGAUUUAUGUGGACAGAGGGCCGGGCCAGCUUGUUUAGGCUGUCCUUCUGCCAAGAGAGGCUGGACCAGGCGAUCCUUAAGGUCUCUUCCAACCUGGUAUUCUAUGGUUCUAUGCAGAGACAGAAGGCAUUUUGUGUGAAAGGACAUGGGAGCUAGCAUAAGUUGGUCUGCGGCCCACGGAUUAGCUCUCUCCCAUUGCUACACAGACAGUUCUGUUCUUAGGAAAGACAUUUCUUGGCUGCACGCUUUGCUCUUGCCCUGCUCACCUGCUGCAGAAGAUGGAAGAUGUGCAGGACAAUGCAAAUAAAGUCCAUCUCAGAGUGGCAGGCAUCCAAUGCCAUCAUGGGAAACCAGACUCUCCUGCAUUCUGGUCUUCUGUCCCUUGUUAGGGAUGCUGCGGGAGAUGUUGCCUCCUCCAACUUUAUUGGGACAGGAAGAAGGGCUAAAACGGAAAGAUUCUGUGCUGGAAUUGUUGCUGCCAUUCAUUUGAACUACAGGUAAUUAAACAGGUUGUUGAAACAGAAUGAUUUGUUUAGUGGUUUAGCUAUCUGCAAAUGUUCUCCACUUCCUCUUGACAUUUUAUCAAACACAAAUGAUGGCUUUAGCAAGCUCUGAAAGGCUGUUUGCAAUUAAUAUUCAACAGCUCUUGUAUAACAAACAAGUGGGAAGCUUCUAUGGGAUAUGAGACUCUUCAUCUGUUAAUUGUGGUCUGUUAAUUAUUUGUAUUACCAUCACGUGCAGAUUCAGUGUCUCCUAAUUACCUAAAACUCUUGCUUGUUUAGUGAUGAAUGAUUUUCCUUAUUGUAAACCUUUGUGACAAUGAUCUUUCAAAAGAUACAUGUGUGAGCUCUGCUUGUGCCCUAAGAAAAGGACCAUACGUUGCUGUAUUUACUGUGCUUCAUCUCAGGAAGUUCAGCUGCCUGUACUUUGUCUUCUCAGUUCAGCACUGACUGCAGCAUGCAAGCUGAUUCAAAUAAAGGGGAAAACAUAGAGAAUAAAUGGAAGAAGAGAGACAGCAAUAUGUAUCAAGAAUGUAUUUCAUCUUUCUCUUUCCCUCUCUGCAAUUCAAUUAAAUUACUGAGGUCUCUGGGAUUCUUUGAUCACCUUCCCAUAAUGUGAUUUUUUUUUUCUGGUUUCUUUCUUCCUGCAUAAAGCUAUUUUCUUUCUCAGUAGUUACCGAGAAAUCCUGUUCUCCAGUGAGGGCUAAUUGAGAAUAAUUAACCAUUGGGCAACAUGCACUCACAUUAUCAAACAGAAGAGGGCACUACAUCAAAAGCAGUACGAUUACAAAAAGCUAGAACAGGGAAAGAAUCCCCUAUACCCCAAAACCUGAACAAUACGGGAAGAAAUGAAUAAUGUAUACUUAUUUUUUUUCACUGGAGAAAAUUGGCUUGAAUUUUCUGAACUUUAAUUGUAGUUUGGAGAAAAUCCAAAUCAUACAGACCCUUUUCAUUCUUCUGUUGUAGUAAGUGACUAAUUUCCAAUGCAAAGUGUUUGGUGCCAAGGCUGUUAUAAUACAAGAGGAGCCAAACCUGCAGCAACCGUUGAAGGCUUGACAGUUCUUGUCAGUGGGAACACAAUGAGGCUGGAUUUGAAUGUCUUUGUUUCCAUUUAAAUGAUUAAUGAAGUUCUGUAAAAUCAAAAUUGCUGCAGUCUUUCAUUUAUUACAAGUAUCAGCAGCAGAAGGAGGUUACACAAAGUGUUUGGUCCUGGUUAGAAACAAAGAAAGAAGGACUUGGAAGUGUUUGAAGUCGUUACUUUAGGAGAAAAACCUUAAAGGCUUAGUUUCCACUCCCUGCCAUUUGCUUUCAGCAUUUCUCUUCUCAGAAUUUUGUCUUCUAUACCAAGAUAUAUACUUCACUUGGGCACCGUCCACGUGAAGACAUUUGCUAAUUGCAGAGCUUGGAUGUUCCUAAAUGAAAAGUAGUUUCCAAUGUUGAAAUAAUAUGCUAUGACAGAUAAUUUAGUCUUUGAUGACAAGUCUUUUUUUUAUUUUCUUGAAAGCCAACAGUUGAAACUAGAUAGUCUCUGUAAGAAAUUUCUUCUUGCAGUUUCCGAAGGGUCUUCCUGUAUCAGAAGGGUCCCUUGUGAGCAUUUUGGUUUCUGUUACGUUGAAAUUAAGAAAAACAACAUCACCUACAUACCAUAUACUUUCGGAGGGAAAAUGAGGCAAAGUCCUCUUUCACACUUAUUCUAACUUAAGAUUCUUUUUUUCUAAAAUAUUACAAUUGCUAUGUUUAAAAAUAUACAUAACAUAGAGCAACGAACCGCUACAGACUUUCUUCCUUUAUACCCCUGCAACUCCUUCUUUCUUAAAAAGCAACAGAAAUUCAUUCAAGGGUAAAAUCCUGCCCCUGAGAGGCUUAUUUCGGCAUUGCAUUGCUCUGAUCACACAACUCCCGCAUCACUAGUGGCAUUACAACCCUUACAACGCUGAGGAUCAGAGGCUUCUUGUGCUUAUGUGCUUCACAAGCAAAGUAGCAUUGUAGCUGCAAGGAAACCGUAGAAUCACCAGGUGGGAAAAGACCUCGUAGAUCAUCGGGUCCAACUGUUCCUAUCUGCCACUAAACUGUGUCCCUGAGCACCUCGUCUACCCAUCUUUUAAAUACCUCCAGGGAUGGUGUGUGUAUUUGCUUCUUUGGUUUGAGGUUUUAUUUUAUUUUAUUCUAACGUCUAUGCCAUUAAGGGGAAGUUAGAAAUGAGGCAGAAUUCAAGAAAGAUUAGGAUUAGACAUGCAAUUUAAGGGACUUUACAGUAAAAUAUAAGCUGCUUUAGUAGCCUGCAGCAUUAAUAAAAUCAAGGAUAGGAAGUUUAAGGAAGUUCGAGUUAAGCUGACACUAGCCAUGUGUCUUCAUAGUACAGAAACCUUGUAUUUGGGGUAAUAAGAAGUCUGAAACUUUGUGUUUAAGCUGUCAGAUCUGGAAUUCUUCACAGAUGGAACCUUUAUCUGGUAUUUGGGCUUGGCAAUAGAAAUACGCAGAUCAUCAGAUCUAUAGAUCUCAAAUUAGGUUCCAUAUCCCUGCGAAAAUAACUCCAAAAGCUGGUGAGCCUUGCUUGUGCGUGCCAAGCUAACCUGAUCCCCAGCCUGGGCUCAGGAAGGUGUGUUCCCCUCUGCCCUGCAGGCAGGAGUGGCUGCAAGAGAUGGGAUGCCUGCCCCUGGGAAGAGUGAAUACCAGUUUGCUUCACGGGAGUGACUGGUGGUUGGAAGAGCACCUUGCAGUGGCAGGGACUGAAAGCACUGGUGCCAUCCUCCACUACUUCUCCGUCAUAUGUCUGUACCUUUUGUAUGUAUUAUUAUUAUAGGACUUGGAGAAAAACAUAUGACACUUUGCCAUACGUGAAACAGAUAUCCUGUUGUUUUUUCUGGUGUUUGCGGUGUUGUUACCUGCAGUUGCCUGGGACUGGUGCUAAAGAUCUGCUCCAGCUAUCAGCAGAGUGUCAAAAUAGCCUUCUCCAUUUUGGAUCCAUCCAACUCAGUCCGCUUCAUAAAAAUCCAUUGGCAGGAUACACAAGGAACUGGUCUCCUGACUUUCAUGCCUGCUCUGCACUGUGAUAAAGAGACUCAAAGACAGGACGCUGUUUGGAUUACUCCUGCUUCUCACCAUACUGAGUACUAAGAAGGAUAUGGAACUGUUGGAAUGAGUCCAGAGGAGGGCUACGAAGAUGAUCAGAGGGCUGGAGCACCUCCCAUACGAGGACAGGCUGAGAGAGUUGGGGGUGUUCAGCGUAGAGAAGAGAACGUUCCAGGGAGACCUUAGAGCAGCUGCCUUUCAGUACCUGAAGGCGCUACAGGAAAGAGGGACUUUUUCCAAGGGCAUGGAGUGAUAGCACAAGGGGGAAUGGCUUUAAAUUGGACAGGGAAGAUUUAGAUUAGACAUUAGGAAGAAAUUCUUCAUGAUGAGAGCGGUGAGGCACUGGCAAAGGUUGCCCGGACAGAUUGUGGAUGCCCCAUCCCCGGACGUGUUCAAGGUCAGUCUGAAUGGGGUCUUGGGCAGCCUGGUGUGGUGGGAAGUAUCCCUGCCCAUGGCAGGGGGGUUGGAACAGGAUGGGCUUUAAGGUGCCUUCCCACCCAAAUCAUUCUAUGAUUCUGUGAUUCUAUUAUUCUAUAUUUUUCUACCAGCAAUAAUCAAUGAGCUCUCAGAUCACAAUGUAAUACUUUUUUUUUCCCAGGAGGGCUUGGUAGGGUCUUAGAUGUCAUCUUAUAUAAAAGCAAGACCAUUCAAAUGUUGUGCUAGUGAAGUGAUUGCUUUUGGGGCAAACACAUACAACAAAAUAGCCAUCCCAAACAGCCCUUUAGGAAUUUCCUUCUAGCUGGCAGAGACAGCUUCAGUAAUGUGCCAAGCACCAGCCAGUAACUUCCCUUGUAGCAGUCUGACAAUGAAUAUCCUGGACCACAACUAUUCACUUUAACAGGCACAGGAACUGGAUCUGGGGCUUUAUUUCUACAGACGAUCUUUAUUUUGGACAUUUUUAUGCUUAGAGUUGCCUUGAAAAUGCUGAGUUUAUAGUUUUACAGUUGAAUGGUGACAUAGUAUGUAUGGGAGAAAAGGAGUGCUUCCAUUAGGAUGCCUUUUAAGCACUAUUAACUUGUGUCCCAGAGCUCCACAUUCCCCAUAGCUAUAUACAAAGCAAGCUCUACAUAAUGCUUGGUUUACCAUGGAUUUAUGGUCUAUAUGGAAGUUCCAUUGCUGCCUUUACCUCUGCAAUCCCAGCUGUAUCUUCUGUGGUCCGUGUGAUCCUUUUGUUUGUUUGACAACUGAAAUUUCAUAUUGUUUAAUGUAAACUAGUAGCAAAUUCUGUAACUAACAGCAUCCAAGUGUAUGCUUUAUUAAACAUCUGACAGGCUGCUUGGCGUAUGA